UCCUACGGGAGGCAGCAGUAGGGAAUUUUCGUCAAUGGAGGGAACUCUGAACGAGCAACGCCGCGUGUGUGAUGAAGGCUUUCGGGUCGUAAAACUCUGUUGUUAGGGAAGAACAAGUGCUAGUUGAAUAAGCUGGCACCUUGACGGUACCUAACCAGAAAGCCACGGCUAACUACGUGCCAGCAGCCGCGG
rnacentral:rRNA from 1 species